GACAGAAAGACCCUAUGAAGCUUUACUGUAGCUUGGAAUUGAUUUCGGGUUUAUUUUGCGCAGUAUAGGUGGGAGGCUAAGAUAUUAUGUUUUCGGAUAUAAAGGAGCCAUCAGUGAGAUACCACUCUGAUUAAACUAGAAUUCUAAUCUUGAUGCCGUUAACCGGCCAAGAGACAUUUUCUGGUGGGCAGUUUGACUGGGGCGGUCGCCUCCUAAAAAGUAACGGAGGCGUGCAAAGGUUUUCUCAGGCUGGUCGGAAAUCAGUCGUAGAGUGUAAAGGCAUAAGAAAGCUUGACUGCGAGACCUACAAGUCGAGCAGAGACGAAAGUCGGCCUUAGUGAUCCGACAGUUCUGAGUGGAAAGGCUGUCGCUCAACGGAUAAAAGUUACUCUAGGGAUAACAGGCUGA
rnacentral:rRNA from 2 species